rnacentral:miRNA from 1 species
UUAUGUUAGUGCAAAAGUAAUUGUGGUUUUUGCCAUUAAAAUAAUGGUGAGAGCCACAGUUACUUUUGCACCAACCUA